GCAGUAGUCAUAUGCUUGUCUCAAAGCUUAAGCCAUGCAAGUCUCAGUACAGACUAUAUUAAAGUGAAACCGCAAAAGGCUCAGUAAACCAGUUUUAAUUUACUAGAGUUAACUUGACUGUGCUUGGAUAACUGUGGUAAUUCUAGAGCUAAUACAUGCAACAAAGCCGUGACCAUUCGUGGUCAGGGCGCUUUUAUUAGACCAAGACCAAUCGCCCGGCCAGUCCGGGCGUUAAGUUGAGGAACCUAGAUAACACAGCAGAUCGCAUGGUCUUUGUACCGGCGACCUAUCUUUCAAAUGCCUGACUUAUCAACUGACGAUGGUAGACUCUGUGUCUACCAUGGCUGUUACGGGUAACGGGGAAUCAGGGUUCGAUUCCGGAGAGGGAGCCUGAGAAACGGCUACCACAUCCAAGGAAGGCAGCAGGCACGCAAAUUACCCACUCCCGGAACGGGGAGGUAGUGACAAAAAAUAACGAUACGGGACUCGAUAUGAGGCCUCGUAAUCGGAAUGAGUACACUCUAAAUCCUUUAACAAAAAUCUAUUGGAGGGCAAGUCUGGUGCCAGCAGCCGCGGUAAUUCCAGCUCCAAUAGCGUAUAUUAAAGUUGUUGCGGUUAAAAAGCUCGUAGUUGGUUCUGCGUCCCGCGCUGUCGGUACACCGUUUGUCGGUGACACUGGCAUGACGCGGGAUGUCCUGUCGGUGGCGGCGGAGACCAUAUCGCCGUCGGCUAACACCGCGGCGUGUUGGCCUUCUGUCGCCGGCUUUAUCCUACCGCGGUGCUCUUCACUGAGUGUCGAGGUAGGCCGACACGUUUACUUUGAACAAAUUAGAGUGCUUAAAGCAGGCAAAAAUCUCUGCCAGAAUAGUGGUGCAUGGAAUAAUGGAACAGGACCUUGGUUCUAUUCUGUUGGUCUCCGGAACACAAGGUAAUGAUCAAUGUGGACAGGCGGGGGCAUUCGUAUUGCGGCGUUAGAGGUGAAAUUCUUGGAUCGUCGCAAGACGCACUAGAGCGAAAGCAAUUGCCAAGUAUGUCUUAAUUGAUCAAGAACGAAAGUUAAAGGUUCGAAGGCGAUCAGA
rnacentral:rRNA from 1 species